rnacentral:rRNA from 1 species
CCUACGGGGGGCAGCAGUGGGGAAUAUUGCACAAUGGGGGAAACCCUGAUGCAGCGACGCCGCGUGAGUGAAGAAGUAUUUCGGUAUGUAAAGCUCUGUCAGCAGGGAAGAAACUGACGGUACCUGACCAAGAAGCCCCGGCUAACUACGUGCCAGCCGCCGCGGUAAUCCGUAGGGGGCAAGCGUUAUCCGGAUUUACUGGGUGUAAAGGGAGCGUAGACGGCGGGGCAAGUCUGGAGUGAAAGGCGGGGGCCAAACCCCCGGACUGCUCUGGAAACUGCCAGGCUGGAGUGCAGGAGAGGUAAGUGGAAUUACUAGUGUAGCGGUGAAAUGCGUAGAUAUUAGGAGGAACACCAGUGGCGAAGGCGGCUUACUGGACUGUAACUGACGUUGAGGCUCGAAAGCGUGGGGAGCAAACAGGAUUAGAUACCCCAGUAGUC